ACUGAAAUAUUUUUAGUGGGAAAAAUGCGUUAUAAAUCAGUUGCAUUGUUAUCAAACUGGGUUCCACUUGACAUUAUAUUUACAAUAAAAUUAACUAUUUAAUUAAAUAUUAUCGUUGGUAUUGGUGUUUUAACGCGAGAGAAAGUUUAUUUUUGAUUGCGGAUGAUCUCUGACAUAUUAUGGCAAGAAAUGUUAGCAUCAGAAUUCAUCAGAAGUGGCUAUGACUUCAAAGUAAUUUGUGUUCAAUUUAAAGUCAAAUGCAUCGUGGAUGCAACAUUUUUGAACGAUUUGGAAAAAUGUUAUCCGUAACUGUUUCACAGUAAUAGAAAAUAGUCAGGAUCCCGAUAAAGUCCAAAUGUCACCUGAUUUUGUAACAACGUGCCGAUGAUAGCUUUAAAUUAUGUACUAAACGUGAUAUAUCAAUUGAUUGAGGAUGAAAAUCGGACCGAAAAUGAUCAUCUCAAAUACAUUGAGAAAAAGUGGUUUGAGUCGUUAUGGUUUUUCAUCAUUAUUCAACGUGACAUUAGUAUAAUUAAAGAAAAGCAUCAGGAGCUUGAUAAAGAUAAAAAGACUAACAAUCGAUACCAUCACCACACGGAUUUCAAUGGAGAAAUUACGUCGUUAAUCGAUUAACUAUGCUGAAAGUUGCAAUGCAUGCUCGGCGAUGAUAGGCACGGUUCUAAUUUGAAACGAAAGAAAAUAUUUAUUUAAAAUUAGCCACUGAAGCUAACGACGCGAUAAAUGAGAUAGUUGCGUUUAUCGCAGAAGCCUCAUUGAACCAUCAAACCAACCACCAGAAUUCCAGGGUGAUUAGAUUUCAAGAAAAUGUGUUUCUUAAAGAACUGGCUACUAAAUCAUAUGAAUGGAAUUCAAAUGGGAGACGACGCUAUGAUCAAAUAACAGUUACGACCACUUUGCAUCAUUUAACAUUGAGAAAUUGUAGCGGCCAGGUCUUUGGUACAUAUUCAAUUUAUAAUUGCACGACUCGCUGUCAGACUACCAGCACCUAAAAUAGCAUAAUUAAAUAGAAGACAACCAGUACGCAGAAGAACCAAUGUAAACGUUGUUUUAGAUCAAUGAUCAAGCAGUGUCGUAAUGAUCAAGAGAAGAAACAUAAUAAUUUGCUUAUAUCAAAGCUUGUAUUUUGUGGCUUUAUUGAACCGUGUACACGUUUAGUAUAGAUUUUUCUGUGGGCGAUGCUCAUUGAUUCAAAUUAUUAUUUAUCCUGAUUCAUUGUUAAAACUGAUGAUUCAUAUUUAACUUUCUUCUCUUUUUACCUUCCAUGUUGACGUUGAAAUUGACUUUGAAAUCUUCGACCCUAAAUAUGUGCGUAAUGUAUUUGCGUUAACAAUUGUUUAUUGGGACAGCUUCGUGUCGUAGACACCAAUCGAAUGUCAACAACAUAAACAAUUAAAUAAGCGCGAAACAUGCACAUGAUGAAAUUUAAAACUAAACUGAAUUAAAAUAAAACAUUAAACGGAUUUCAAUAUUUUAGG